GAUGAACGCUGGCGGCGUGCUUAACACAUGCAAGUCGAACGCAUAAGCCAAGCUUGUUAGGUGGUUUAGUGGCGUACGGGUGAGUAAUACGAGAGUGAGCCAACCUUGCCCCUGGGUUAAGCCUGGGAAAGUGGGUAUAUUCUCGGACACGAUCAAACUUAGUAUGGGGUGUCGGUGAGAAACGUUAUGGUGUGGCAUUAGCUGGGCAUACGGCCUAUCAGCUUGAUGGUGAGGUAAUGGCUUACCAAGACGACGACGGGUAGGCGACCUGAGAAGGUGAACGCGCACACUGGGACUGAGGGACGGCCCAGACGGCUACGGUACGCAGCAGUGGAGAACAUGACACAAUGGGCGCAAGCCUGAUGCAGCGACGCCGCGGUCGGGAUGAAGGCCUGCGGGUGGUAAACCGCUAUUAGCGGCGAAGAAGCGAGAGUGACGGUAGGUGCAGAGAAAGCGCCGGCUAACUACGUG
rnacentral:rRNA from 1 species